rnacentral:rRNA from 1 species
GACGAACGCUGGCGGCGUGCUUAACACAUGCAAGUCGAACGGAAAGGCCUUGCUUUUGUGGGGUGCUCGAGUGGCGAACGGGUGAGUAACACGUGAGUAACCUGCCCUUGACUUUGGGAUCACUUCAGGAAACUGGGGCUAAUACCGGAUAGGCGCUCCUGCUGCAUGGUGGGGGUUGGAAAGUUUCGGCGGUUGGGGAUGGACUCGCGGCUUAUCAGCUUGUUGGUGGGGUAGUGGCUUACCAAGGCUUUGACGGGUAGCCGGCCUGAGAGGGUGACCGGCCACACUGGGACGGAGAUACGGCCCAGACGCCGACGGGAAGCAGCAGUGGGGAAUAGUGCACAAUGGGCGGAAGCCUGAGGCAGCAACGCCGCGUGCGGGAUGACGGCCUUCGGGUGGUAAACCGCUUGCGCCUUUGACGAAGCGGGAGUGACGGUAAUGGGUAAAGAAGCACCGGCUAACUACGUG